rnacentral:rRNA from 1 species
UACGUAGGGUGCGAGCGUUGUCCGGAAUUAUUGGGCGUAAAGAGCUCGUAGGCGGUCUGUCGCGUCGAUCGUGAAAACUCAGGGCUUAACCCUGAGCCUGCUUCCGAUACGGGCAGACUAGAGGUAUGCAGGGGAGAACGGAAUUCCUGGUGUAGCGGUGAAAUGCGCAGAUAUCAGGAGGAACACCGGUGGCGAAGGCGGUUCUCUGGGCAUUACCUGACGCUGAGGAGCGAAAGUGUGGGGAGCGAACAGG